rnacentral:rRNA from 1 species
UAACACAUGCAAGUCGAGGGGUAGAGGAAGCUUGCUUCCUUGAAGACCGGCGCACGGGUGCGUAACGCGUAUGCAAUCUACCUUGUACAGAGGGAUAGCCCAGAGAAAUUUGGAUUAAUACCUCAUAGUAUUAUUGAAUGGCAUCAUUUAAUAAUUAAAGUUCCAACGGUACAAGAUGAGCAUGCGUCCUAUUAGCUAGUUGGUGUGGUAACGGCAUACCAAGGCUACGAUAGGUAGGGGUCCUGAGAGGGAGAUCCCCCACACUGGUACUGAGACACGGACCAGACUCCUACGGGAGGCAGCAGUGAGGAAUAUUGGACAAUGGGCGCAAGCCUGAUCCAGCCAUGCCGCGUGCAGGAAGACGCAUCUAUGGUGUGUAAACUGCUUUUGUACGGGAAGAAACACUCCCUCGUGAGGGAGCUUGACGGUACCGUAAGAAUAAGGAUCGGCUAACUCCGUGCCAGCAGCCGCGGUAAUACGGAGGACCCAAGCGUUAUCCGGAAUCAUUGGGUUUAAAGGGUCCGUAGGCGGUUUAAUAAGUCAGUGGUGAAGCCCAUCGCUCAACGAUGGAACGGCCAUUGAUACUGUUAGACUUGAAUUACAAGGAAGUAACUAGAAUAUGUAGUGUAGCGGUGAAAUGCUUAGAUAUUACAUGGAUACCAAUUGCGAAGGCAGGUUACUACUUGUGGAUUGACGCUGAUGGA